rnacentral:pre_miRNA from 1 species
AAAGUACUCCCUCCGUCCCAAAAUUCUUGUCUUAGAUUUGUCUAGAUACGAAUGUAUCAAGUCACAUUUUAGUAUUAGAUACAUCCAUAUCUAGACAAAUCUAAGACAAGAAAUUUGGGACAGAGGGAGUAGUUG